UUACCUGAUGGUGCACCGACAACAACAAUUUCGACUCGAUGGGUGCGUUAACUACAGUGGAUCAGCUACUGUCAGCAGAAGCAGGUGUUGAGCGAUGUGUUGACUUUUGUGUUGCAUGUCUGACUGCAUCGGAUUUGAUGUACUGCAGGCCAUAAACAUCAGGAGGAGGAGGUGAGACAGAGGUUCUUGAGCAUCAUCAGCUCAUGGCAUGCAUCACCCUCAAGUUUGAAGACAUCGUUGAUGGUAAUCACAUGAGUUAAAGUUGUGUGUCAGAUGCAGCCGCAGCUGCACUGCUGCCUUCUUGUUGACAUCCACCAAAAUCCUGUUCUCUAACUCAUGUUGCAGGCUGAAGCUGAGGCAAGGCAGCGAAGUUGUCAGAAACCUGAUAGAAAACCUGAUCUGAUCAGGCUUAUUAACGAGCUAAUUUUCAGAAAAUUUCCUCGUUAUGGGAUGCUUCUUCUUCUUCUUCUUCUUCUUCUUUUUUUAUCCAUCAGUAAUUUUAUUUUUUUUCUUUAAAAUGUGUCCCAGUUAUAAUAUUUUUGUAAAUGCUUAGUUUUUGUAUGUCACAAGAACACUAUAACACUAUAGUACUUUGUUCUUAGCUUCAAACGAAGGAUGAAUUCUUAGAUAGAACUUUGAAAGAUCCACUGGAAGGAUUAAAAGGAAAAAAAAAAACAAAGGGGAUAUUUGAACCUUUUCUACUGAUGUGACACUUUAUGUAUACAUCAUUUAUAUAAUAAUUAACAAAUGUAUUCCUAUGAGCAUGCAGAGUAAAUACUUGGAGCAAAAUAAUGUCAUAAAAAGCUAGUUUUCAACCCACGCAAAUCCAAUCC
rnacentral:lncRNA from 1 species